AGGAUGGAGAUCAGAGCCCCCCCCCCCGCCCGUCAGAUCCAGGGAUGGAAACCCUCUUGUCGCAGCAAAGGGCAGGAUGCUGCCCUUUCGGCUGCUGCGCUGGAGGAUCCGACACAACCUGCCCUAUAUUUCAAAGGACGGAGCUUAACAGCACAGGAUAGGUCUGGAGCGGGGAGGAAGCUGAUGCCAACCCUGCGAUGGCUGUGGCGAGCAAGGGAACCGCUCCUGGGUCCCUGCGUUGGGAAAGCAGGAGCUGGUCCAGCAGCUGAAACGUUUGCAACCUGUGCAUCAGCAUCCGCGUGCUGGGAUCGUGCCCCAAAGUGGGGAAAUCCUCGUGGGUUGGGCAUUUGUUUGCCUAGUUAACCAGCUUAGGUGGGUAAUCACGGGUAAUUGUGUGCCUAAGGCUUGGAAAUGUCCUCCCGGGUUUCCUUCCCCCCCCACUCCGUCCUAUAGAUCUGCUUCAUCUCUGGCUUUUAAGUAGGGAGACCUACUGCUGAAACCUCGGAGUUGAUUUUAUGCCUGUUCUUUAUUCAAAUCCUCCUCUACACGGUGCUUUUAAUCGCCAGGACGUCCCUUCACAACAACAAAAAAAAGAUUAUUUUCCACUUUUCAAUCUGUGGUUUAAAUAAACAGAUGUUGUGUGUGUGGUGUUUUCCACCCCCCAUUUCCUCCCACACCCCCUCAAUACCUUCAGUUUUGAAAAGCCCAUGAAUGAACCUGAUUAAUGACAAUGAAAUGUCUUUUAACUCCAGCGUGGUUUUAAUUACCUCUUUAUUUUCUAUUGCAACAGAGUCCAAGCAGCACCUUCCUAGAAAGAGUUCCAUUAAAAUGCAAAUGAAGGCUCUGCAGAAACUGUCUCUCAAUGCAACGAAGGACUCCGUUUCUUACACUUAAGCAACUCGCUGCCAGGCGGGUGUCCCGCUGCCUCCUGCUCCUCCUGCACAUGCAAUCCUCUGCCUUCCCCUCCCCAUGCGUGUGUUUUCCAGUCCCUGUCACCUGCAGGUGAAAAGCACCGGAGCUGAAAAGCCACAAUCCCUUUUUCCACCCUCAAUGCUCAAGUGUUUCACGUGAAGCUCUUCCACCCCCCCGGCGCCUGCAGGUGCUAAAUCCUUCUGUUGUGUAGAGACUGCAAGUGCUCCGCCGGUCCUCAGAAGAGAGGUGGUUUUUCCUCAGAAAGAAGGAAAGAACGUGCAAGGGGUAAAAAGAACAGGAAGAAAAGAGCUGGAGGAGAAAUCAGGCUUGUUCAUGAGAUUUUUGGUGUGCAAAGUGUCACGAACGAGGUGAACAAAGGAGAGGUCAAGAGCACAAAUGCACCUCUGUGAGAUUAAAGACUGUUUCUGGCUCAGAUCAAUAUCCUCUGCACACCACCGCUUCACAGGUUUCAUUGAGGAGGAGACCACUGGAGGUCUGGGCUUUAAUCGUAUUUAGCCACUGGGAAAACAGGUAAAUUGCAUAACCCUGUAGCAUAGGAGUGCUUGGAAUCACCCCCUGUUGGGGUGAGGUAGGAACGGACUGGGGACAAGCAGUAGAGGAAAGCUGCCUCCAUACCACAUCCCAUCUGCAAAACCAUCAGCAAUGCUGAAGUGUUCUCAUCCCAGCUCCCUCUUCAGCUCUGCUCCACCUUGCAUUCAUCGUGCUUGUAGGAGAUGUUAUAUCUGAUAAAUUAAAAUGAUUUCUUGUG